UACGGAGGAUCCAAGCGUUAUCCGGAUUCAUUGGGUUUAAAGGGUGCGUAGGCGGAAGAGUAAGUCAGUGGUGAAAGCCUGCAGCUUAACUGCAGAAUUGCCAUUGAUACUGCUCAUCUUGAGUACAUUUGAUGUGGGCGGAAUGUGUCAUGUAGCGGUGAAAUGCAUAGAUAUGACACAGAACACCGAUUGCGAAGGCAGCUCACAAAACUUUAACUGACGCUGAGGCGCGAAAGCGUGGGGAGCAAACAGG
rnacentral:rRNA from 1 species